UACAGAGGUCUCAAGCGUUGUUCGGAUUCAUUGGGCGUAAAGGGUGCGUAGGUGGCGUCGUAAGUCGGGUGUGAAAUUUCGGAGCUUAACUCCGAAACUGCAUUCGAUACUGCGGUGCUUGAGGACUGGAGAGGAGACUGGAAUUACGGUGUAGCAGUGAAAUGCGUAGAGAUCGUAAGGAAGACCAGUGCGAAGGCGGGUCUCUGGACAGUUCCUGACACUGAGGCACGAGGCCAGGGAGCAAACGG
rnacentral:rRNA from 1 species